rnacentral:rRNA from 1 species
GUGGGGAAUAUUGGACAAUGGGGGGAACCCUGAUCCAGCCAUGCCGCGUGUGUGAAGAAGGCCUUUUGGUUGUAAAGCACUUUAAGCGAGGAGGAGGCUACCGAGAUUAAUACUCUUGGAUAGUGGACGUUACUCGCAGAAUAAGCACCGGCUAACUCUGUGCCAGCAGCCGCGGUAAUACAGAGGGUGCAAGCGUUAAUCGGAUUUACUGGGCGUAAAGCGCGCGUAGGUGGCCAAUUAAGUCAAAUGUGAAAUCCCCGAGCUUAACUUGGGAAUUGCAUUCGAUACUGGUUGGCUAGAGUAUGGGAGAGGAUGGUGGAAUUCCAGGUGUAGCGGUGAAAUGCGUAGAGAUCUGGAGGAAUACCGAUGGCGAAGGCAGCCAUCUGGCCUAAUACUGACACUGAGGUGCGAAAGCAUGGGGAGCAAACAGGAUUAGAAACCCUUGUAGUCC